GACGAACGCUGGCGGCGUGCUUAACACAUGCAAGUCGGGCGGUAAGGCCCUUUCGGGGGUACACGAGCGGCGAACGGGUGAGUAACACGUGGGUGACCUGCCCUCAGCUCUGGGAUAAGCCUGGGAAACCGGGUCUAAUACUGGAUAUGACUCCAUGACGCAUGUUGUGGGGUGGAAAGCCUUGUGCGGCUGAGGAUGGGCCCGCGGCCUAUCAGCUUGUUGGUGGGGUGAUGGCCUACCAAGGCGACGACGGUAGCCGGCCUGAGAGGGCGACCGGCCGACACUGGGACUGAGACACGGCCCAGACUCCUACGGGAGGCAGCAGUGGGGAAUCUUGCGCAAUGGGCGAAAGCCUGACGCAGCGACGCCGCGUGA
rnacentral:rRNA from 1 species